GGGCCCAGGGCGGGCGUGGCUAAUACAUGCAAGUCGAACGCUUUUUCUUUCACCGGAGCUUGCUCCACCGAAAGAAAAAGAGUGGCGAAGGGUGAGUAACACGUGGGUAACCUGCCCAUCAGAAGGGGAUAACACUUGGAAACAGGUGCUAAUACCGUAUAACACUAUUUUCCGCAUGGAAGAAAGUUGAAAGGCGCUUUUGCGUCACUGAUGGAUGGACCCGCGGUGCAUUAGCUAGUUGGUGAGGUAACGGCUCACCAAGGCAACGAUGCAUAGCCGACCUGAGAGGGUGAUCGGCCACACUGGGACUGAGACACGGCCCAGACUCCUACGGGAGGCAGCAGUAGGGAAUCUUCGGCAAUGGACGAAAGUCUGACCGAGCAACGCCGCGUGAGUGAAGAAGGUUUUCGGAUCGUAAAACUCUGUUGUUAGAGAAGAACAAGGAUGAGAGUAAAAUGUUCAUCCCUUGACGGUAUCUAACCAGAAAGCCACGGCUAACUACGUGCCAGCAGCCGCGGUAAUACGUAGGUGGCAAGCGUUGUCCGGAUUUAUUGGGCGUAAAGCGAGCGCAGGCGGUUUCUUAAGUCUGAUGUGAAAGCCCCCGGCUCAACCGGGGAGGGUCAUUGGAAACUGGGAGACUUGAGUGCAGAAGAGGAGAGUGGAAUUCCAUGUGUAGCGGUGAAAUGCGUAGAUAUAUGGAGGAACACCAGUGGCGAAGGCGGCUCUCUGGUCUGUAACUGACGCUGAGGCUCGAAAGCGUGGGGAGCGAACAGGAUUAGAUACCCUGGUAGUCCACGCCGUAAACGAUGAGUGCUAAGUGUUGGAGGGUUUCCGCCCUUCAGUGCUGCAGCAACGCAUUAAGCACUCCGCCUGGGGAGUACGACCGCAAGGUUGAAACUCAAAGGAAUUGACGGGGGCCCGCACAAGCGGUGGAGCAUGUGGUUUAAUUCGAAGCAACGGCGGAAGAAGCCUUACCAAGGUCUUGACAUCCUUUGACCACUCUAGAGAAUAGAGCUUCCCCUUCGGGGGUCAAAGUGACAGUUGUUGCAUGGUUUGUCGUCAGCUUCGUGUUCGUGAGAUGUUUGGGUCAA
rnacentral:rRNA from 1 species